AAUAGAUACCCAGGUAGUCCACGCCGUAAACGAUGAGUGCUAAGUGUUAGGGGGUUUCCACCCCUUAGUGCUGCAGCUAACGCAUUAAGCACUCCGCCUGGGGAGUACGGUCGCAAGACUGAAACUCAAAGGAAUUGACGGGGGCCCGCACAAGCGGUGGAGCAUGUGGUUUAAUUCGAAGCAACGCGAAGAACCUUACCAGGUCUUGACAUCCCGAUGACCGCUCUAGAGAUAGAGCUUUCCCUUCGGGGACAGCGGUGACAGGUGGUGCAUGGUUGUCGUCAGCUCGUGUCGUGAGAUGUUGGGUUAAGUCCCGCAACGAGCGCAACCCUUGUUCUUAGUUGCCAUCAUUCAGUCGGGCACUCUAAGGAGACUGCCGCAGACAAUGCGGAGGAAGGUGGGGAUGACGUCAAAUCAUCAUGCCCCUUAUGACCUGGGCUACACACGUGCUACAAUGGACGGUACAAACGGUUGCGAAGUCGCGAGACGGAGCCAAUCCGAGAAAACCGUUCUCAGUUCGGAUUGCG
rnacentral:rRNA from 1 species